rnacentral:rRNA from 1 species
GAGCCUGGCUCGUAUUAUUGGGCGUAAGCGAGCGCAGGCGGUAGAUAGUCUGAAGUUAAAGGCUGUGGCUUAACCAUAGUACGCUUUGGAAACUGUUUAACUUGAGUGCAAGAGGAGAGAGUGGAAUUCCAUGUGUAGCGGUGAAAUGCGUAGAUAUAUGGAGGAACACCGGUGGCGAAAGCGGCUCUCUGGCUUGUAACUGACGCUGAGGCUCGAAAGCGUGGGGGAGCAAACAGGAUUAGAUACCCUGGUAGUCCACGCCGUAAACGAUGAGUGCUAGGUGUUAGACCCUUUCCGCGGUUUAGUGCCGCAGCUAACGCAUUAAGCACUCCGCCUGGGGAGUACGACCGCAAGGUUGAAACUCAAAGGAAUUGACCGGGGGCCCGCCCCAAGCGGGGGAAGCAUGGUGGUUUAUUUCGAGGCACGCGGAAGAAACCUUACCAGUCUUGACAUCCUCCUACCCGCUCUAGAAAAAGAAUUUUCCUUUCGGAAAAAGUGGACCGGGGGGGCAUGGUUGUGGCCGCUCCGGGUCGGGGGAGGUUGGGUUUAAGUCCCGCAACGGGCGCAACCCCUAUUGUUAGUUGCCACCAUUCGGUUGGGCCCUUCUAGCGGGAUUGCCGGUAAAAACGGAGGAAGGUGGGGAUGACUCAAACCUCAUGCCCCUUAUGACCUGGGCUAAACACGUCCACAAUGGCUGGUACAACGGGCCGAAACCGGGAAGGAAGCAAAUCUCUAAAGCCAGUCUCAGUCGGAUUGAGGCUGCAACUCGCUGCAUGAAGUCGGAAUCGCUAGUAAUCGCGAUCAGCACGCGCGUGACGCCCCCCCCGGUAUAUAA